UUUUCACUAUUAACAUAAAAGAAAAAAAACCGAGAUGAACAAUUAGAAAAUCAAAGUAUGUUUCUGAGUUCAUCUACCACAAAACUCCUGCUUUAAGUUCUUCCACGAUAUAUACAGAAGAAAUCCAAAUUAUACUAACAUCACAAAGCCUCAAACGACAUCUGAAACUUCAAAGUUUGAUUCAUUCACUUACAGUUGCACGGAAAACGAACCAAAUCUAAGGAGAAAACCAACUCAAUCUAAGGAAAUUAAAGGGUUCCAGAUGUUGUCGGUGAGCUAGCUAGUCUGACAGCAGUGCAAGAAUUCAGAAAAAACCUUGGAGAACUGUGUUUCAAGAGAGAGUUCACUCUCUAGAACCUAAGGUACAUUUAACCAAAUUUUACGUUGAAUCCACAUAUCUGAUUAAUUUUACGCUCUAUCGGAAUCCUAAUUGGAUACUUAAUAUUUAUGGAGGGGCUGCAAAAAUCAAGGCCACACUAACUCAACAUAAGAGUUGACCAUGAAGGUGGAAAAGCAUGGAAUUGAUCAUGCAGCUAUCAUAGUUGUUGUAAUUAAUCCUUACAAAGAUUAUUGCACUACCAGGUUUUAGCUGUAUAUAAAUUACCAACUCAUCAUUGCACUACCAUGGAAUUGAUCAUGCAGCUAUCAUUGUGAUGAAACAUUGAAUUCCCGAGUUGGGUUGAGAGAGUAUAGAAUAGUUGAAGGCAUCUGAUGUUAAUAUUAGGAGAAAACAUUUUGUAAACGGAUGUAAUUGAUUGAAAAAAUUUUGGAUUUUUGGAACAGCACAACAGGCGCAUUUAGACUA